rnacentral:rRNA from 1 species
AGUGAACGCUGGCGGCAGGCCUAAUACAUGCAAGUCGAACGGCAGCACGGCAGAGCUUGCUCUGUGGGUGGCGAGUGGCGGACGGGUGAGGGAAUACAUGGGAAUCUGCCCAGUCGUGGGGGAUAACGUAGGGAAACUUACGCUAAUACCGCAUGCGCCCCUUCGGGGGAAAAGCCGGGGACCUUCGGGCCUGGCGCGAUUGGAUGAGCCCAUGUCGGAUUACGCUAGUUGGCGGGGUAAUGGCCCACCAAGGCGACGAUCCGUAGCUGGUCUGAGAGGAUGAUCAGCCACACUGGAACUGAGACACGGUCCAGACUCCUACGGGAGGCAGCAGUAGGGAAUAUUGGAC